CACAUGUCAUAUACAAUUACCAGCCAAUAUAAAUUACACAUAAGAUUGUUUUAAACAUAACCAUAAACCAUGAAUUAAACUCCAACACGGGCUCAAUUUCAGGUUUAAUUCACAAUAAUUUACAUUUCACAUUAAGACUAACAGUGGUUCUAUCAACACUGCCACCUACAGGUCUGUCAAGUACAUUGACAAUUUUCAUGGGGUUUUACAAACACCAAAACACUGACCCCUAUAGGUCAACAGACAAACAACAUUUCAC